rnacentral:rRNA from 1 species
UAGGGAAUCUUCCGCAAUGGGCGAAAGCCUGACGGAGCAACGCCGCGUGAGUGAUGAAGGUCUUCGGAUCGUAAAACUCUGUUAUUAGGGAAGAACAAAUGUGUAAGUAACUAUGCACGUCUUGACGGUACCUAAUCAGAAAGCCACGGCUAACUACGUGCCAGCAGCCGCGGUAAUACGUAGGUGGCAAGCGUUAUCCGGAAUUAUUGGGCGUAAAGCGCGCGUAGGCGGUUUUUUAAGUCUGAUGUGAAAGCCCACGGCUCAACCGUGAAGGGUCAUUGGAAGCUGGAAAACUUGAAUGCAGAAGAGGAAAGUGGAAUUCCAUGUGUAGCGGUGAAAUGCGCAGAGAUAUGGAGGAACACCAGUGGCGAAGGCGACUUUCUGGUCUGUAACUAACGCUGAUGUGCGAAAGCGUGGGGAUCAAACAGG